rnacentral:rRNA from 1 species
AGUGAACGCUGGCGGUAGGCCUAACACAUGCAAGUCGAACGGCAGCACAGUAAGAGCUUGCUCUUACGGGUGGCGAGUGGCGGACGGGUGAGGAAUACAUCGGAAUCUACUUUUUCGUGGGGGAUAACGGAGGGAAACUUACGCUAAUACCGCAUACGACCUACGGGUGAAAGCAGGGGAGCUUCGGACCUUGCGCGAUUGAAUGAGCCGAUGUCGGAUUAGCUAGUUGGGGGGGUAAGGGCCCACCAAGGCGACGAUCCGUAGCCGGUCUGAGAGGAUGAUCGGCCACACUGGAACUGAGACACGGUCCAGACUCCUACGGGAGGCAGCAGUGGGGAAUAUUGGACAAUGGGCGAAAGCCUGAUCCAGCCAUACCGCGUGGGUGAAGAAGGCCUUCGGAUUGUAAAGCCCUUUUGUUGGGAAAGAAAAGCAGCAGGUUAAUACCCCGCUGUUCUGACGGUACCCAAAGAAUAAGCACCGGCUAACUUCGUG